rnacentral:rRNA from 2 species
AGGUUAAGUUAACAAGGGCGCAUGGUGAAUGCCUUGGCACUAGGAGCCGAUGAAGGACGGGACUAACACCGAUAUGCUUCGGGGAGCUGUACGUAAGCUAUGAUCCGGAGAUUUCCGAAUGGGGCAACCCAGCAGUUUUAAUCAACUGUUACCACUAGAUGAAUUCAUAGUCUGGUUGGAGGUAAACGCUGUGAACUGAAACAUCUCAUUAGCAGCAGGAAUAUAAAGAAAUUUCGAUUCCCUAAGUAGCGGCGAGCGAACGGGGAACAGCCCAAACCAAAGUGCUUGCACUUUGGGGUUGUAGGACUGAACAUUUGAGUUACCAAAGAACUUGAUAGUCGAAGGAUUUGGGAAAAUCCGCCAUAGAUGGUGAUAGCCCAGUAGAUUAAAUCAAAUUCUCUCAGUUCAGGAUCCUGAGUACGGCGGAACACGUGAAAUUCCGUCGGAAUCCGGGAGGACCAUCUCCCAAGGCUAAAUACUACCUAGUGACCGAUAGUGAACCAGUACCGUGAGGGAAAGGUGAAAAGCACCCCGGGAGGGGAGUGAAAUAGUUCCUGAAACCAUGUGCCUACAAUAAGUCAGAGCGCGUUAAUGCGUGAUGGCGUGCCUUUUGUAGAAUGAACCGGCGAGUUAUGAUCCCGUGCAAGGUUAAGACUAAAAAGUCGGAGCCGUAGCGAAAGCGAGUCUGAAAUGGGCGUUUUGAGUACGAGGUUAUAGACCCGAAACCAGGUGACCUAUCCAUGUCCAGGUUGAAGGUGCGGUAAAACGCACUGGAGGACCGAACCCGUGUAAGUUGAAAAUUGCUGGGAUGAGGUGUGGAUAGCGGUGAAAUUCCAAACGAACUUGGAGAUAGCUGGUUCUCUCCGAAAUAGCUUUAGGGCUAGCCUCGGAAUUAGGAUCAUGGAGGUAGAGCACUAUUUGGACUAGGGGCCCGUCUUGGGUUACUGAAUUCAGAUAAACUCCGAAUGCCAUUGAUUCAUAUCCGGGAGUCAGACGAUGAGUGAUAAGAUCCACCGUCGAAAGGGGAACAGCCCAGACCAUCAGUUAAGGUCCCUAAAUGUAUGCUAAGUGGAAAAGGAUGUGGAGUUGCAUAGACAACUAGGAUGUUGGCUCAGAAGCAGCCACCAUUUAAAGAGUGCGUAAUAGCUCACUAGUCGAGUGAUCCUGCGCCGAAAAUGUACCGGGGCUAAGCAUACUACCGAAACCAUGGAUGCGACCAUUAGGUCGCGUGAUAGGAGAGCGUUCUAAGGGCGGUGAAGCAAGAUCGUGAGGACUUGUGGAGCGCUUAGAAGUGAGAAUGCCGGUAUGAGUAGCGAAAGAUAGGUGAGAAUCCUAUCCACCGAAUGACUAAGGUUUCCUGGGGAAGGCUCGUCCUCCCAGGGUUAGUCGGGACCUAAGUCGAGGCCGAGAGGCGUAGACGAUGGAUAACAGGUUGAGAUUCCUGUACUAGUUAAGUGCGUUUGAGCAAUGGAGGGACGCAGGAGGCUAAGAUGUGCAUUCUGUUGGAUUAGAAUGUCCAAGCAGUAAGUCUUGUGAAGAGUCAAAUGCUUUUCACUUUAAGGACAAGCUGUGAUGGGGAGCGAAAUUUAGUAGCGAAGCGUCUGAUGUCACACUGCCGAGAAAAGCUUCUAGUGAGUACUUAACUACCCGUACCGCAAACCGACACAGGUAGUCGAGGAGAGAAUCCUAAGGUGAGCGAGUGAACUCUCGUUAAGGAACUCGGCAAAAUGACCCCGUAACUUCGGGAGAAGGGGUGCUGAUCGCAAGAUCAGCCGCAGUGAAUAGGCCCAGGCGACUGUUUAUCAAAAACACAGGUCUCUGCAAAAUCGUAAGAUGACGUAUAGGGGCUGACGCCUGCCCGGUGCUGGAAGGUUAAAAGGAUGGGUUAGCUUCGGCGAAGCUCAGAAUUGAAGCCCCAGUAAACGGCGGCCGUAACUAUAACGGUCCUAAGGUAGCGAAAUUCCUUGUCGGGUAAGUUCCGACCCGCACGAAAGGCGUAACGAUCUGGGCACUGUCUCAACGAGAGACUCGGUGAAAUUAUAUUGUCCGUGAAGAUGCGGACUACCCGCGACAGGACGGAAAGACCCCAUGGAGCUUUACUGUAGCUUGAUAUUGAGUGUUUGUACAGCUUGUACAGGAUAGGUAGGAGCCAUAGAAACCGGAACGCUAGUUUCGGUGGAGGCGUUGGUGGGAUACUACCCUCGCUGUAUGACCACUCUAACCCGCACCACUAAUCGUGGUGGGAGACAGUGUCAGGUGGGCAGUUUGACUGGGGCGGUCGCCUCCUAAAAAGUAACGGAGGCGCCCAAAGGUUCCCUCAGAAUGGUUGGAAAUCAUUCGCAGAGUGUAAAGGCACAAGGGAGCUUGACUGCGAGACAGACAGGUCGAGCAGGGACGAAAGUCGGGCUUAGUGAUCCGGUGGUACCGUAUGGAAGGGCCAUCGCUCAACGGAUAAAAGCUACCCUGGGGAUAACAGGCUUAUCUCCCCCAAGAGUCCACAUCGACGGGGAGGUUUGGCACCUCGAUGUCGGCUCAUCGCAUCCUGGGGCUGUAGUCGGUCCCAAGGGUUGGGCUGUUCGCCCAUUAAAGCGGUACGCGAGCUGGGUUCAGAACGUCGUGAGACAGUUCGGUCCCUAUCCGUCGCGGGCGUAGGAAAUUUGAGAGGACCUGUCCUUAGUACGAGAGGACCGGGAUGGACAUACCUCUGGUGUACCAGUUGUGCCGCCAGGCGCAUCGCUGGGUAGCUACGUAUGGAUGUGAUAAACGCUGAAAGCAUCUAAGUGUGAAACACACCUCGAGAUGAGAUUUCCCAUUCCUUUAUGGAAGUAAGACCCCUGAAAGAUGAUCAGGUAGAUAGGUUAGAAGUGGCAGUGCGGUGACGCAUGAAGCGGACUAAUACUAAUCGGUCGAGGACUUAACCAAG